CAGUAGCCACGGGAACACGUAGGGUGCGAGCGUUAAUCGGAAUUACUGGGCGUAAAGCGUGCGCAGGCGGUUCGUUAAGACAGAUGUGAAAUCCCCGGGCUUAACCUGGGAACUGCAUUUGUGACUGGCGAGCUAGAGUAUGGCAGAGGGGGGUAGAAUUCCACGUGUAGCAGUGAAAUGCGUAGAGAUGUGGAGGAAUACCGAUGGCGAAGGCAGCCCCCUGGGCCAAUACUGACGCUCAUGCACGAAAGCGUGGGGAGCAAACAGGAUUAGAUACCCCUGUAGUCCCUGUCUCUUAUAC
rnacentral:rRNA from 1 species